UGGGGAAUUUUGCACAAUGGGCGAAAGCCUGAUGCAGCAACGCCGCGUGACCGAUGAAGCUUUUCGGAGUGUAAAGGUCUGUCGUGAGGGAAGAACAACUUGGAUGCAAAUAGUGUUUGAGUCUGACGGUACCUCACAAGAAAGCACCGGCUAACUUCGUGCCAGCAGCCGCGGUAAUACGAGGGGUGCUAGCGUUGUCCGGAAUUACUGGGCGUAAAGGGUGUCUAGGCGAUUAGGUAAGUUGUUUGUAAAAUACCCCGGCUUAACCGGGGACCUGCAUACAAAACUAUCUGGAUAGAGUUUGGGAGAGGAAAGUGGAAUUCCUGGUGUAGCGGUGACAUGCGUAGAUAUCAGGAGGAACACCAAAAGCGAAGGCAGCUUUCUGGCCCAAAACUGACGCUGAAGCACGAAAGCGUGGGGAGCAAACAGG
rnacentral:rRNA from 1 species